UACGGGGGGGGCAAGCGUUGUUCGGAAUUACUGGGCGUAAAGGGCGCGUAGGCGGGUGGACAAGUCUCUCGUGAAAGCCCACGGCUCAACCGUGGAAAUGCGGGAGAUACUGUCUGUCUUGAGUCCGGGAGAGGAGGGUGGAAUUCCCAGUGUAGCGGUGAAAGGCGUAGAUAUUGGGAGGAACACCGGUGGCGAAGGCGGCUCUCUGGAUCGGUACUGAAGCUGAGGCGCGAAAGCUAGGGUAGCAAACGCG
rnacentral:rRNA from 1 species